AACGUAGGAGACAAACGUUAUCCGGAGUUACUGGGCGUAAAGGGCGUGUAGGUGGUUGUGUAAGUUCGGCGUGAAAUCUCUCGGCUUAACCGGGAGUGGUCGUCGGAUACUGCACGACUAGAGGACGGUAGAGGCGUGUGGAAUUCCGGGUGGAGUGGUGAAAUGCGUAGAGAUCCGGAGGAACACCAAAGGCGAAGGCAGUGUCCUGGGGAGUACCUGACGCUCAGGUGCGAAAGCCAGGGGAGCGAACGGG
rnacentral:rRNA from 1 species